UAAAAUAUAAGGAUUACUUUUGUAUGUUCCAAUAGUUAUUAUACUUGUUUUGGCAUCAGCAUUACCUCUUUCUUUAUCUUUUUCCUGGUUAAUUGUUUUCUGAGUUUUUGGGUUUAUGUUUUGCUGAUGACUAUUGAUUGACCAUUUGUAUGGUAUUUUUAUGAAAAAGAACUGCACUACAGUACAAUUUACAACAAUGCUGCUGAUAUGACACACCUUUGAAUUUGUCAAAAUUAAAAACAACAUAUUCCUUUGUAGUGUGAAUAUAAGCAAUCUAUUUUAUAUGAACUUUUUUGGUUGUACUUAAUCAAAGAGAAUCUCUGCACUUUUCCAUUAUAUGGUUUGAAAGCUGUAAUACAGUGUCAUUUUAUUUUUCUCUUUAAAUGGAUGGAUGGGAAAAUUAUUGAAUGAUCAACUCUCUUCUUUGUGCCCAUAAAGAUCGAUUCAGACUCUGCUGAAAAUAUAUAGCUCUCACAAGUUCAGCAUCACCUGCUUUGAAAUUAGCCUUAGAUUGCCAACCAAUAGAUGAGAAUUUUGAGGAAAAAAUUUAAAAAUAUGUAAAAUUAAUAAUUUGCAUGAACACAGAUGACUCCAUUUUCCAAAACUUAGUGGACUCUAUCUGAUGUACUAAAUGUAUACACCUUGUAAGCAAUAGUUAUAUUUAGGUGGUAGAACAUAGCAAAAAUAUAACUCAAAGUUGGCAGAUGCACUUGCUACUGAAUAAGACCUUUUGUUCUCCCUCAGUCUUGAGAUUGAUAGCCACCCUAGAGCACAACAGGGCAUUGGGUACUUGUGUCUUAGGUAUUUCUUCCAGUCACAUGCAUUUUGUGGAAGAUUAACCCAACCCCUUACUACACUAAACAGUAAAGAAUAAUACAUAAGCACACAAAUUGAUGACAGAAUUUCAAUUAUGUGAAUGCAUCCUCUUUGCUAGGUCAAAAACAAAGGGCAAAGCAGACAUUUUAGUACACAUAGUGAUUGGUAAAUAUUUUCAAGAUAUAAUAUGAGUAAUCCAUUAUUCGCUCUAUCCAAAAUAUAUUCAAGAGGCUUCCAAGUUGUAGAAGAACAAUGAUCUGCCCAUAAUCGAAGGUGGAGAGUCUAAAUGCUGUACCAGUUGCUCUGGUAUUCAGGUUUCCUUGGGUUUUACAGAACACAUGGACCCCAUUCACAUUUGGUUUGUUUAUCUUCAAAUUUGAGUUGAAACAAGUGUGAUUUAUUUAAGUUGUAUUAAAAAAAAGGAUAGCAUUUUUAUACAAAUAUCUUUAAAGGCACAAAAGAUUUAUUCACAAGUUUUGGAGGGCUUUUUGUUCCUCCGAUAGACAUGACUGACUUUUAGCUGUCAUAAUGUAUUAACCUAACAGAUGAAAUAUGUUAAAUAUGUGGUUGCUCUUUAUCCCUUUGUACAAGCAUUAAAAAAACUGCUGUUUUAUAAGAAGACUUUUUGUUGUACUAUGUGCAUGCAUACUACCUAUUUCUAAACUUUGCCAUAUUGAGGCCUUUAUAAACUAUUGAUUUAUGUAAUACUAGUGCAAUUUUGCUUGAACAAUGUUAUGCAUAUCAUAAACUUUUUCAGGUUCUUGUUUAAGUACAUUUUUUAAAUUGAACAGUAUUUUUCAUUUUGGUUAUAAUAUAGUCAUUUUGCCUAUGUUUCUACAAUGAAGUGUUAAAUACUUUAUAAAAAAUUGUUGACUGACUUAUUUAAAUGAAAUUCUACAUAUU
ensembl:lncRNA